AAUUCCCUUUCAUAAGGAGAAUGGAAGAUUGUCGGAGGGAUUCCGGCGUGAACCGAGAGGCCUCUGAUUCGGUCGCUUGUGUCUGCGCUCUUAUAGGGUGGAGUCUGGGAUCGUGGCUGAUAUUGAGGUGGACGCCCUGCUGCCAGCAGACUGCAACACCUUCUACCAGAUCAAGAGUCAGCCCAUCCACGGCAGUACCUCAGCAAGCGGCUCCUCUUCCUCCACCUUGUCUUCCUCUUCAUCCGUGCCCGCGGCGAUGUCCUCCAGGGUCCUGAUGCGUCAGGAUCUGAUGCGUCGGCAGGCUCUCGAGGAAGAGCAGAAGGAAGCGCAGCAGCAGCAGCUUCUGCGGUUGCCCGCCGCCUCCCCGUCGUCGCCCGUCUGCGUCAGCGCGUCACUCUGCGGGCCUCCGGCUCAGGUCCCUGUCGAGGUGCUGAAGGUACGAGGCGGAGUUUGGGGGCUCAAGUGGUUGUCAAUUUUUGGACUUGCUUGGUUAUUUGACGGUGUGAAACUUGACCUGAGCCUCGGGACUUGACAAGUCUUUCAAAAUGUCCGUUUCAAGAUAGCGGGAGUGCGCAGAUGCCGGAAAUGAUGGGACGAAGGUCAGUGGCGUCACUUUCGGCUCCACACCAAAACAGACUGUUUACACAUUGAGUGACAAGACAAAGACAAAAACCUAUUUUUUCCAAAUUACUUUUUUUUUGACUGACAGUUUUAAAGCAACAAAGAUAGUUUUAGGGUAAUUUGACAUUUUUGUAACAUACAUUUUCUUUCAUUCAU